AGUGUCUGGCUAUGGCCGUUCACGUCCAAUUUGGCAUCCGCGCAAUGAAAGGCAAUUGGGUAGCAGCCCCCACACAGCAGCCAGUCCUUAUUAUUAUAUGUGAAGUGUGGCUCAGGCAAUGAUUAAUGACAGUGUCGGGGCGAAAACAAAGCACAGCGCAAGUUAUCUCCAAUCCACCUGCUCCUGUGCACCGAUUGGAAGAGAAUGAGAAGAGCACGGGCAGAGGCUUGAUAAUGGAAAAGAAAAGGGAAAGAGAAUGAAAGGGGAAAAGAUGAAGAGGAGGAGGAAGAGAAAAGGAAGAUGGUGGCACCGAGAGUACAGGGAAGGGGACUUAUUGACUACAGUGGGGUGAGAAUGAAGAAAAAUCCUCAGAGCAUUUCCUUAUGAACUUAAUUUUGCAUUCAAGAUGAAAAUGAGGAUGUGUACCUUAUGCCUUUAAACUAAUGAAUGCCAACUUGCAGGUGGUAUACAUGUGAGGUCCAACUGUCCCCCGCUGUAUUGGUGUUGACAUUUAUGAGACAUGUCGGAGGGGGCCUGCUAGACCUCACUAAUGAGAUAGCUGAUGCAGAGAUCCAGUACCACAGCCUGACACUGCCAUCCAGAGGACAAAUUCGGUAAACAAGCCACGGGGCCGCGGAGCUGGAGGACUGAAGGUGUGACAGGUGUUCUUCAUUGACUCAUCAGUUCAGAGGACUAUAUGAGGGCGGCUCACCUGCACUUCUGCACUUCUGUGCACCUCAGCCUUGCUCCUUGUUGGAGAUCUCAAGAAAACCUCUGAUCACAGUCUGGACUCUGGAUUCAUUCCAUCCAGCGGGCCGCCCUGGAUACCUCUCUGUCUGGUUAAGCGAACCCUGUCCACCCUCCUACGGUUCCUCCUGGAUCAUCAAGAAGCCUCAACGGAAUCAGCACAACCUCACUGUCCCAGACUCGCAACCAUUUCCCCCUUGGCGGAUCGCCCCACCUGAAUAGCAAGCCUAACCACAGAAUUAGCAAGUCUGUUUCUUGAUCUGAACUCACCUUGUUGUUUUCCCUUCCAGUCAGACGGCCUUCCUGGAAA